rnacentral:lncRNA from 1 species
GGCCGGUAGGCGGCAGCUGGGUCAACCGGAGACUGGGAUGUUAGCUACCCGCGGCCGCCAUUUGUUCCCGAGACCUGCCACCUAAGAAACGUAAUUUUCGUUGUCCAGAAGCUGUAAACCCCUCAAGGAAGAUUCCCGCUGGAGCUGCCUCCGCGCGCCGCUUCAUUAUCAACGUGGCUGGUCGAGGAUUCCACAUAACGUGAUUCCUGUCCUCAGCAGAUACGAAAUAUUGUUCGAGAGAAGUCUGCUAUGGAAGUGCCAUCAAAGCCAGUGAUCUACCUGUCCUGGCCUCCCUAGCUCACUACUGAGGAGGACAAAGGAGUAGUACAUCAACAGCCUCCAAGUACAGCAAUUGGCCCAGCCUGGAUGCCUGCCCCUCCCACACUCUGAAGAGGACAGUAAGAGUGACUGCUAAAACUGGUCUGGAUUCAACAGCAGCUUGAGUCUCUCUGCAGCAUCCAGCCUACCCAGGACACCCCCUUCCACUACUGAAGAUGAAAAAUGCUGGAAGGAGUGUGUCCUGGGCAGGCUGGAUGCUGAUUCAGUUGCUGCAGGGAAACUCAAGCUGCUGUUGAAUUUGUUGAAUACAGACUAUAAUUUCUUAGGUGAGCUACUUUCUCUGUCCUCUCAGUGUAAGGGAAGAAGCACAUCUUGAUGGGGCUGUGAAGUGAGGACAAAUGCAUGCGAAGUCAAGUUGAUACCAGACCAAUGACAACAUUCAUCACUCCCUCAGCCUUCUGAAGUGAAGGGAAGCCAGACUGGGGGACUUUGGGGUGAUGUUGUUCAGCAGUGGAUAGGACUGGCCAAUGUUGUUCACUAUGUGCUCCAGUGACCAAUGCUUGCGGAGGAGAGCGUGGCCAAGAGUCCAGGGUCCGUAGCGCACACACCGCAGCUGUGUACACACUGCAUUGGUCUUCAGCUUGAUGCCCAGCGAGUGAAUUAGUUCUUUGAGGUAGUCACCAGUCUCGUUGAUGCUUGACACCUCUGUCCAGAGAAGAGAUGUGAACAGUAGCUACAUCUUUUUAACAUAAUAAAGACUGCUUUCACACCUCCCUU